CAGUAGCCACGGUAAUACAGAGGGUGCGAGCGUUAAUCGGAUUUACUGGGCGUAAAGCGUGCGUAGGCGGCUUCUUAAGUCGGAUGUGAAAUCCCUGAGCUUAACUUAGGAAUUGCAUUCGAUACUGGGAAGCUAGAGUAUGGGAGAGGAUGGUAGAAUUCCAGGUGUAGCGGUGAAAUGCGUAGAGAUCUGGAGGAAUACCGAUGGCGAAGGCAGCCAUCUGGCCUAAUACUGAUGCUGAGGUACGAAAGCAUGGGGAGCAAACAGGAUUAGAUACCCCGGUAGUCCCUGUCUCUUAUAC
rnacentral:rRNA from 1 species